rnacentral:misc_RNA from 1 species
AAGCUCAUGAAUGCUUACUGUGAUAGGCAAUCUGUGGACUUCAACUCUAUUGCCUUCUUGUUUGAUGGUCGCCGUCUCAGGGCCGAGCAGACUCCUGAUGAGCUCGAGAUGGAAGAUGGCGAUGAAAUUGAUGCUAUGCUGCAUCAGACUGGUGGAUCUUUGUCUUAGAUUUUAUAUUGGAGGGUUUGGGGUAUGGUAAAUUAGAUUAUAUGCGGUAUAUGUUGACCGAACUUUUUAGAAUGUGUAUGUUAGUCUUUACUUUGGUGGUCUGAUAAUAGUUGUUUAUGGAUGGUCACAGAAUUUGGAUUUUGGAUCUUUACUUCUAGUUAAUUAUCCUUUUAUUAACUCUUGGUGUUUGAUAUAUUUGUGCUAUGAUCGGUUUCUG